GAUGAACGCUGGCGGCGUGCCUAAUACAUGCAAGUCGAGCGAAUGGAUUAAGAGCUUGCUCUUAUGAAGUUAGCGGCGGACGGGUGAGUAACACGUGGGUAACCUGCCCAUAAGACUGGGAUAACUCCGGGAAACCGGGGCUAAUACCGGAUAACAUUUUGAACCGCAUGGUUAGAAAUUGAAAGGCGGCUUCGGCUGUCACCUAUGGAUGGACCCGCGUCGCAUUAGCUAGUUGGUGAGGUAACGGCUCACCAAGGCAACGAUGCAUAGCCGACCUGGGAGGGUGAUCGGCCACACUGGGACUGAGACACGGCCCAGACUCCUACGGGAGGCAGCAGUAGGGAAUCUUCCGCAAUGGACGAAAGUCUGACGGAGCAACGCCGCGUGAGUGAUGAAGGCUUUCGGGUCGUAAAACUCUGUUGUUAGGGAAGAACAAGUGCUAGUUGAAUAAGCUGGCACCUUGACGGUACCUAACCAGAAAGCCACGGCUAACUACGUGCCAGCCGCCGCCGUAA
rnacentral:rRNA from 1 species